UACGUAGGGGACGAGCGUUGUCCGGAAUUACUGGGCGUAAAGGGCGCGCAGGCUGUGCUGCAAGUCAGCUGUGAAAUAUCUGGGCUUAACCUGGAUAUGCGGUUGAGACUGCAGUGCUGGAGUGCUGUAGAGGCAAGUGGAAUUCCCAGUGUAGCGGUGAAAUGCGUAGAUAUUGGGAAGAACACCGGUGGCGAAGGCGACUUGCUGGGCAGCAACUGACGCUGAGGCGCGAAAGCCAGGGGAGCAAACGGGAUUAGAUACCCCCGUAGUCCGG
rnacentral:rRNA from 1 species